GUACAUGUCGAGAUCUGGUCCACCAGAACAAUCCUCCAAUAGUCUAGCUACCAGUCAUAUCAAUCCAAUAUCAGGUAUAGAGUGGAAGAUGAACCAGAAGUAUAAACUGAUUCUAGAAUUUCAGCAGGUGACAAUCCCUGAUUUAAAACUUAAAAGUUACAAAGAUCUUGAUGAACAGUAUCCCUAUGAUUUUAAUGUUGAAUACUCAGUGGCUAAACAUCAUCACCAAGACUUCCCUCCCUUACACAAACUGCAAACGUAAAAAUACCAAGACAGCACAAGGUUGUAUAGGCACAGGUCAAAAGGUCAACAUUGACAUCAUGUGAUACACACAUUUUUUGUUCUUUUCAGCUUUAAUUUUAUUCCUAGCAAUACUCUGGUAUUUAUUUUUGUAUUUUUUCUUGGUAUUCUCAAAGCACUUUUUAGUUUUAGAAAUUAUUUUGGAAUUAAAGUGAAAAUAUUUGAAAUGCAAAUGAUAUAAUAAUACCACCACCCCAAAUUGAUUUAAUUACAAUACACAUUGAUAAACUAAACUCAUUCUUUACAUUUUUUAUGAGUUCAUGUUUCAUUUUUUUUAAAUUAAUCAAAUAUUUUAUAAAUGAUUUACAGAGUGCCAUUUUUAUUAAGGUGACUAAG
rnacentral:sRNA from 1 species